AUCUGACUGGCUCAGUCAGAAGAGCAUAGGGCUCCUGAUCUUGAGAUUGUGAGUUCAAGCCCCAUGUUGGGUG
rnacentral:tRNA from 1 species